ACGCACGCUGGCGGCGUGCUUCACACAUGCAAGUCGAACGGAAAGGCCCCUUCGGGGGUACUCGAGUGGCGAACAGGUGAGUAACACGUGAGUAACCUGCCCUUGACUUCGGGAUAACUUCAGGAAACUGGGGCUAAUACCGGAUAGGAAUCCUUGCUGCAUGGUGGGGGUUGGAAAGCUUCGGCGGUUUUGGAUGGACUCGCGGCUUAUCAGCUUGUUGGUGGGGUAGUGGCUUACCAAGGCUUUGACGGGUAGCCGGCCUGAGAGGGCGACCGGCCACAUUGGGACUGAGAUACGGCCCAGACUCCUACGGGAGGCAGCAGUGGGGAAUAUUGCACAAUGGGCGGAAGCCUGAUGCAGCAACGCCGCGUGCGGGAUGACGGCCUUCGGGUUGUAAACCGCUUUCAGCAGGGGCGAAGCUUGUGGUGACGGUACCUGCAGAAGAAGCACCGGCUAACUACGUG
rnacentral:rRNA from 1 species